rnacentral:misc_RNA from 1 species
UUGAAUAAACAUUGAUUGAGUUGUUGCUGGCUUUCAGAAGCAUGUGCACACUCAAUUCAAUUUUUUAAACCCCUUGUGCACUUGUUGUAGAUUUGAAACAAUUCAAGCAUGUUGAAAUGCAUUGGUUUUUUGAGAAUUGCUUUGGCUUUUCUUGUGUUUCACAUCUAUUUUUUUCAAUACAAACACCAAAUGUAAUAGAAUGAAUAUUCAGGGCUAUUAUGCCUCUAAAAAUAAAUA